UACGGGGGGGCAAGCGUUGUUCGGAAUUACUGGGCGUAAAGGGUCUGUAGGUGGCCCGCUAAGUCACACGUGAAUCCCUCAGCUUAACUGGGAACUGCGUGUGAGACUGGCAGGCUUGAGUGCAGGAGAGGAACGCGGAAUUCCAGUGUAGCGGUGAAGUGACGUAGAUAUCUGCAGGAACACCCGUGGCGAAAGCGGCGCGCUGGACCACUACUGACGCUGAGGAACGAAAGCUAGGGAGCAAACAGG
rnacentral:rRNA from 1 species